AUGAUCCCUCCUGCUUCUGCUCUUCUCUUUUCCAGUGGUCCAGUACCACCCUCUGUCAUACGUCCCUGUAAGGUCCAGAACUACAGCGAUGUGAGGAGAGCCUGGUGCAGAAGGAAAGACAGAGAUGAAUAUGAUAGAGAUGAAUAUGACACCUUAGCCAUCACUGAUUACUGUCUAUCAGCAUAUCUCAACAAGGUUUGUACAGAGAGAAGCAUGGUACUUGAUGACACCCAGAAGGGGAUGAUCACUGUCACAACGCAGAAGCUGCAAGUUCAGGACUCAGUAGCGUGCUGGUGCCCACACUAUGCACAUUCGCAUUUUUUCCUGAAUAACUGAGAUUAAGCUGCCUGUUUCUGAGUGAUUAUUUCUUUCUGAGGAAAAUGUGGGGCAUUUUGUAGAUUUCUACCUCAUUUUUUUCUGCUUUUCAGUGGUUUGUAGUACCCUCACCCAGGUUACUAAGAAUCACAAUAGCCAUAGUAGGUCAGAUCAAAGGUCUCCAACAGUGGCUAAAGCAGAUAAUUAGUUAAGAAAGAGUAUAAAAACAGAGAAGCACAAAGAAACAGUUGUCCAGAAUACUCUCUUAGCCUGCAGCAGUUCCCUACAGAGGGCAUUUUUAUUAUAAGAGCAAUGACUAAAUUCCUUUAUCUCUUUAAUUCUUCCAUUUGUUCUGCUAGCACAUAAAAACUUUUGGUACGUGAACAUCCUGUGGCAGUGAGCUCCACACUUUAUGCAUGCAUGCACGCAUGGAAAAUUUCCUUUUCUCCUUGUAUCCUAGCUAGUGACUUGCUUCUUGUAAGACAAUGAAUUAUUGCUCCUGUGCUCUUUCCCUGCUAUUCCCAAUUUUAUACACUCCUGCAACAUCAUCCCUGUUCUUUCCUUUCCAAAAAGUUGUUUUAGUCAUUUCUGUACAGAAGGUGACCCAGAUCUUUCUCUGUCUUGGCUGUUUAUCUCUGGUCACCAACUUAGCUGGCUAACUCAGAGUACAGACUCCACAGAUUUCUGUUGCAAUAUGCUUUGAUUUAUUUGGAGGCAUAGUUUUAUUCUUCUAAACUUUUUUUCAAGAGAACAAAAUAUUUGGAAUUUCUUUUACUUAGUAUCACAGGUCAAUUCGACCCUCCCUUAGUUAGCUAAAAUGUCUGUGAACAGGAUUAUAAUAUUGUGCUUAUUCUAAUAGUGGGAAUCUGAUGCAAUUGGACAUUUUACCUGGACAUUACUAACCGGUUUGACCUUAUCCAGAAACCCAAGGAUAUGCAACCAGGGGGAUGGAGACUGUCUCUGCUGAGUGCCCCUACAAUGUGUUGUAUUUUUACAUGUGCAAAGAUUACAAGGCUGUGCA
rnacentral:lncRNA from 1 species